CAACCCUUAAGCUUAGCUUAGUAUUGGGAAUCUGCUUAACCGCAGCUCCUUAAAUCUAGUUGGCAGAGCACAGCUGUACUCUGAGCGUAGUAAUUCAUUAUCUCGCUUUUCGAAGACAGCAGUACGAUCGCCAUAAACCUAUUUAUUUUUUAAU
rnacentral:misc_RNA from 1 species